rnacentral:rRNA from 1 species
GAUGAACGCUGGCGGCGUGCCUAAUACAUGCAAGUCGAGCGAACAGAUGAGGAGCUUGCUCCUCUGAUGUUAGCGGCGGACGGGUGAGUAACACGUGGAUAACCUACCUAUAAGACUGGGAUAACUUCGGGAAACCGGAGCUAAUACCGGAUAAUAUUUUGAACCGCACGGUUCAAUAGUGAAAGACGGUCUUGCUGUCACUUAUAGAUGGAUCCGCGCCGCAUUAGCUAGUUGGUAAGGUAACGGCUUACCAAGGCAACGAUGCAUAGCCGACCUGAGAGGGUGAUCGGCCACACUGGAACUGAGACACGGUCCAGACUCCUACGGGAGGCAGCAGUAGGGAAUCUUCCGCAAUGGGCGAAAGCCUGACGGAGCAACGCCGCGUGAGUGAUGAAGGUCUUCGGAUCGUAAAACUCUGUUAUUAGGGAAGAACAAAUGUGUAAGUAACUAUGCACAUCUUGACGGUACCUAAUCAGAAAGCCACGGCUAACUACGUG